GAGAGAGAGAGAGAGAGAAAAAGAGAGUCCAGGUUUAACCGGUUAACGUCAGAGGGAGUGAAUCACCUUAAAACACCUGCCUCGCCUACAAAACGAGGUGUGUGUGUGCCCGUGUGCUAUCCGUUCUGCAGAUGUGAAAAACGGAGACUCCUCACUUGUAACGUGCUGUUCGAGGUAACCACAUCGCUGAUAACUUGCAAGCAUGAAGAAAUUCCUUCUCGGUGCCUUCUUGCUCGUCCUGCUCGCCUAUGCAGUGGACAGCUCUUCCGAAGAGGACUCCUCUGAGGACUACUCUGGGGACUAUUCGGGAGAAUACUCUGAGGAGUACUCGGGGGACUACUCGGGAGACUAUUCGGGAGACUACACCGAUGACUUUUCCGAAGACUUCACCGAAGACAAUGAAUACACUACACCGUGAAGGAGGCACGGGGAACAGUCAUCGCUCGCUCAUUGGAAAAAGAAAAAAAAAAAUUUUGAAGAACAAACGAAGAUUAUGAGGAACAGAGGUUAUGAACAUCGUGAAAAGCAGAGGUUGUGAAUAUUACGAGGGGAAAAAAAUAUUAUGAAUAUUUUGAGGUUCACGAGGAAGGAAUUUAAUGAAUAUCAUGAGGUUUAUGAGGAAGGAAUUUAGUGAAUAUCAUGAGGUUUAUGAGGAAAGAAAUAUGAGGUUCAUGGGGAAGAAAUUUAUGAGGUUCACGAGGAAGAGGAUUAUAAUUUCCACAUCAAACACCAUAGAGCGAUGGAUGUCUUUAUGAUAAAAAAAAGCUGUCUUCAAUAUGAUAAUGCUUUUACCAUGAUUACAUUAGAUAUGAUUAGCUAUGCAUUUAGGUAAAAAUAAACAAGGAUUUAUGUAUACACAAAUUAAUAAAUAAUGAAUCGGA